rnacentral:rRNA from 1 species
UACGUAGGGGGCAAGCGUUGUCCGGAAUCAUUGGGCGUAAAGCGCGUGUAGGCGGUUCGGUAAGUCUGCUGUGAAAGUCCAGGGCUCAACCCUGGGAUGCCGGUGGAUACUGUCGGACUAGAGUCCGGAAGAGGCGAGUGGAAUUCCCGGUGUAGCGGUGAAAUGCGCAGAUAUCGGGAGGAACACCAAUGGCGAAGGCAGCUCGCUGGGACGGUACUGACGCUGAGACGCGAAAGCGUGGGGAGCGAACAGG